rnacentral:lncRNA from 1 species
UCUAUCCUCCUGCCUCAGCCUCCCGAGCUGCUGGGAUGACAGGCACGCACCACUGUGCCCGGCUGGCAUUUUGUCCUCUGGGACUGUGAACCUUGGUGGGCAGAGGCUGUGCCUCUUUCAACCUGACAUACUCUUUGGAGGCAAGACCAGGGCUCAACAGAGAUGAGGUACUUCCCCAAUGUUUAUGAGACCAGUGAAGACGCUCAAAUGGACAAAGCAGAAAUCUUGUUCAUGGAAUAUUUUCACGUGGAAAAGGGUGAAUCUGAGUAUGGCCUCCCCUAGAGCAUCUGAUGGAGCAGUCAGUGGCCAAGGAAGGAAGAGGGGUGGGGUGGAGGCUGGGACUUGGCCCAGACCCUGGGCUCCUGGGGACCCCAGCCUGCGUCUGGCAGGCCUGUUUCCAGGAGAUCCUGCAGGGCUUGUGUGCGUCUGCUGAGGACCGUGCCCCUCGGGGUCCUUCCGAAGGCUUGCCUUUUGAUGUCAAGGAGCAUGGGUGGCCUCCAGGGGACAUUCUGGAAUGAACAGAAUGCCCUCYUCCCUUGGUUCCUGCUGGGCUCCCACUUGCACAUUUGGGGUGCUCACCGUCCCCUGCAGGCCAUGCUCUGCUAGAUUUGGGGUGCAGAGGUGAAUUUCAGGUGGACAACCGAGCGGCCACCGUGGCCAUUCGGGCRUAUGAGGGGACCCUGGGUGCUGUUUGGAUCGGCUUUCUCACUGCUGGGACUAAAGGACCCGACCAGAACAACUGUGGCAGGAGGAAGAGUGGAUCUGAGGGCUCACGGUUCAGGGGUCUCAGUCACAGACAGCAGGCUCCAUGCCUUGGGCCCAAGGUGAGGCAGGASAUCGUGGAGGAAGAGGGUGGCAGAGGGAGCAGCCCACAGGGUGACCAAGGAGCAGAGGAGACUCCACUCUCCAGAUACCAUAUCGACCCCACGGCCACAGCCCGACUGCCACCCUCCAGCCCACCCACCACCUCAGUCACCACUCAGUCGACUCCCAGCAGGGGACCAACUCCUCACCACCAUUUCUCCUCUGAGCCUCCCGCAUKGUCUCACACACACCCCACAUCUCAGCCACAACAGGCCCCCGAGGCUGGGGAAGUCCAGUGGGCGAGGGGGAGACCCCCGCUCUGGGUUCCCGUGGCCUCAGAGACUCCUGGGGUGUCGUGCCUCCUGUGCACGCGGAGCCCUGAGCGCCGUGGAUCCCGCGUGGCUCUUCCCUCCCCGGGCGUUUCCCCCUGGUGUUGAAAUCAGGCCCAGGGCACCACGGAGGAAGCUGGCCUUUACCCGAGUGGUCAAGAUCGGGCGCUGCUUUAGGGAAAAGCCACCCGUGAGCUCUGCUGUCUGACCCUCCGCAGUGGGUCACUGGGUGGCCACUGACCGAGGCAGGCCCGGGCUCUCUGCUGGCCUGCACCCUGACACCUUUGGCUCCAAGCCUCGCCAGCUUUGAUGAGCCUGCAGCCCAGCGGCAUCAGGCUGGGGAACUGCCCGCGCCCUGGGGACAGGGACAACAGCCCCCUGCCGGCUGACAUCCUCUGAGCCUCGCUCGUGUCUGCUGUGGAGUCGCACGCGAGGRUGACAAAGGAUCUUCUAGAGUGAAGAGUCCAAGGGGCGGG